CAGCCGCCGCGGGAAAACGGAGGGUGCAAGCGUUAUCCGGAUUUAUUGGGUUUAAAGGGUCCGUAGGCGGAUCUGUAAGUCAGUGGUGAAAUCUCACAGCUUAACUGUGAAACUGCCAUUGAUACUGCAGGUCUUGAGUAAAUUUGAAGUGGCUGGAAUAAGUAGUGUAGCGGUGAAAUGCAUAGAUAUUACUUAGAACACCAAUUGCGAAGGCAGGUCACUAAGAUUUAACUGACGCUGAUGGACGAAAGCGUGGGGAGCGAACAGGAUUAGAUACCCCUGUAGUCCCUGUCUCUUAUAC
rnacentral:rRNA from 1 species